rnacentral:rRNA from 1 species
GAUGAACGCUGGCGGCGUGCCUAAUACAUGCAAGUCGAGCGAACAGACGAGGAACUUUCUCCUCUGACGUUAGCGGCGGACGGGUGAGUAACACGUGGAUAACCUACCUAUAAGACUGGGAUAACUUCGUGAAACCGGAGCUAAUACCGGAUAAUAUAUGGAACCGCAUGGUUCAAGAGUGAAAGACGGUUUUGCUUUCACUUAUAGAUGGAUCCACUCCGCAUUAGCUAGUUGGUAAGGUAACGGCUUACCAAGGCAACGAUGCGUAGCCGACCUGAGAGGGUGAUCGGCCACACUGGAACUGAGACACGGUCCAGACUCCUACGGGAGGCAGCAGUAGGGAAUCUUGCGCAAUGGGCGAAAGCCUGACGGAGCAACGCCGCGUGAGUGAUGAAGGUCUUCGGAUCGUAAAACUCUGUUAUUAGGGAAGAACAAAUGUGUAAGUAACUAUGCACGCAUUGACGGUACCUAAUCAGAAAGCCACGGCUAACUACGUG